rfam:Dipodomys ordii contig_39594, whole genome shotgun sequence.
GGUGGCUCAGUGGUAGAGUGCUUGCUUCACAUGUAUGAGGCCCUGGGUUCGAAUUCUCAGAAACCA